UUAAAUUUCUAUAACGUAAUCUACGAUAUUUAAAUGUUUCUAUAAACGAAUUAUGUUAAUUCUUCUAACUUUAAAAUGUUUAAUUGUUUGUAUGGUAAUAUAUAUUAGAUUAUGUAGUUCUAGCCUUCUAGGAUUAGUUUUCUUUUCAAAACUUUAAUUAAAUAAAUAAAAAUUCAAAUACCAACAACCAACUAAAUUAAAAGAAUUAAUUCUAAACUUCAC
rnacentral:lncRNA from 1 species